GCCUACGGGGGCAGCAGUAGGGAAUCUUCCACAAUGGGCGAAAGCCUGAUGGAGCAACGCCGCGUGGGUGAAGAAGGUCUUCGGAUCGUAAAACCCUGUUGUUAGAGAAGAAAGUGCGUGAGAGUAACUGUUCACGUUUCGACGGUAUCUAACCAGAAGGCCACGGCUAACUACGUGCCAGCAGCCGCGGUAAUACGUAGGUGGCAAGCGUUAUCCGGAUUUAUUGGGCGUAAAGGGAACGCAGGCGGUCUUUUAAGUCUGAUGUGAAAGCCUUCGGCUUAACCGGAGUAGUGCAUUGGAAACUG
rnacentral:rRNA from 1 species